UACGAAGGGGGCUAGCGUUGCUCGGAAUUACUGGGCGUAAAGGGAGCGUAGGCGGGUUAUCAAGUUGGAGGUGAAAGCCCAGGGCUCAACCUUGGAAUGCCUUCAAAACUGAUAGCCUAGAGUAUGAUAGAGGUAAGUGGAACUCCGAGUGUAGAGGUGAAAUUCGUAGAUAUUCGGAAGAACACCAGUGGCGAAGGCGACUUACUGGAUCAUGACUGACGCUGAGGCUCGAAAGCGUGGGGAGCAAACAGG
rnacentral:rRNA from 1 species